rnacentral:misc_RNA from 1 species
GUGAAUCAUCGAAUCUUUGAACGCAAAUUGCACUCUCUUCGGAGAGUAUGCGUGUUUGAGGGUCAGCCUAAAAAAAAUUGACAUAGUCGCUGUUUCGUGGUGUUCUUCGUGGGGAAUUGGGUCAUCUUAAACUUUUGGGCUUUAAGCGGACUAAAAUUUUCUCUUGGUUUCAUGAAAGUUUCUAAGAUCUAUUUCUUUACAUGUUUAGGGUAUCGUUCUUUAUUAGAUGUGACUCUUAUAU